GGGGAUGUAGCUCAGUGGUAGAGUGUUUGCCUAGCAUGCAUGAUGCCCUGGGUUCAAUCUCCAAUGCUUCCA
rnacentral:tRNA from 1 species